GAUUAAGUUAUUAAGGGCGCACGGUGGAUGCCUUGGCACUAGAAGCCGAUGAAGGACGUUACUAACGACGAUAUGCUUUGGGGAGCUGUAAGUAAGCUUUGAUCCAGAGAUUUCCGAAUGGGGAAACCCAGCAUGAGUUAUGUCAUGUUAUCGAUAUGUGAAUACAUAGCAUAUCAGAAGGCACACCCGGAGAACUGAAACAUCUUAGUACCCGGAGGAAGAGAAAGAAAAUUCGAUUCCCUUAGUAGCGGCGAGCGAAACGGGAAGAGCCCAAACCAAAAAGCUUGCUUGUUGGGGUUGUAGGACGCUCUAUACGGAGUUACAAAGGACGACAUUAGACGAAUCAUCUGGAAAGAUGAAUCAAAGAAGGUAAUAAUCCUGUAGUCGAAAAUGUUGUCUCUCUUGAGUGGAUCCUGAGUACGACGGAGCACGUGAAAUUCCGUCGGAAUCUGGGAGGACCAUCUCCUAAGGCUAAAUACUCUCUAGUGACCGAUAGUGAACCAGUACCGUGAGGGAAAGGUGAAAAGCACCCCGGAAGGGGAGUGAAAUAGAACCUGAAACCGUGUGCUUACAAGUAGUCAGAGCCCGUUAAUGGGUGAUGGCGUGCCUUUUGUAGAAUGAACCGGCGAGUUACGAUUUGAUGCAAGGUUAAGCAGUAAAUGUGGAGCCGUAGCGAAAGCGAGUCUGAAUAGGGCGUUUAGUAUUUGGUCGUAGACCCGAAACCAGGUGAUCUACCCUUGGUCAGGUUGAAGUUCAGGUAACACUGAAUGGAGGACCGAACCGACUUACGUUGAAAAGUGAGCGGAUGAACUGAGGGUAGCGGAGAAAUUCCAAUCGAACCUGGAGAUAGCUGGUUCUCUCCGAAAUAGCUUUAGGGCUAGCCUCAAGUGAUGAUUAUUGGAGGUAGAGCACUGUUUGGACGAGGGGCCCCUCUCGGGUUACCGAAUUCAGACAAACUCCGAAUGCCAAUUAAUUUAACUUGGGAGUCAGAACAUGGGUGAUAAGGUCCGUGUUCGAAAGGGAAACAGCCCAGACCACCAGCUAAGGUCCCAAAAUAUAUGUUAAGUGGAAAAGGAUGUGGCGUUGCCCAGACAACUAGGAUGUUGGCUUAGAAGCAGCCAUCAUUUAAAGAGUGCGUAAUAGCUCACUAGUCGAGUGACACUGCGCCGAAAAUGUACCGGGGCUAAACAUAUUACCGAAGCUGUGGAUUGUCCUUUGGACAAUGGUAGGAGAGCGUUCUAAGGGCGUUGAAGCAUGAUCGUAAGGACAUGUGGAGCGCUUAGAAGUGAGAAUGCCGGUGUGAGUAGCGAAAGACGGGUGAGAAUCCCGUCCACCGAUUGACUAAGGUUUCCAGAGGAAGGCUCGUCCGCUCUGGGUUAGUCGGGUCCUAAGCUGAGGCCGACAGGCGUAGGCGAUGGAUAACAGGUUGAUAUUCCUGUACCACCUAUAAUCGUUUUAAUCGAUGGGGGGACGCAGUAGGAUAGGCGAAGCGUGCGAUUGGAUUGCACGUCUAAGCAGUAAGGCUGAGUAUUAGGCAAAUCCGGUACUCGUUAAGGCUGAGCUGUGAUGGGGAGAAGACAUUGUGUCUUCGAGUCGUUGAUUUCACACUGCCGAGAAAAGCCUCUAGAUAGAAAAUAGGUGCCCGUACCGCAAACCGACACAGGUAGUCAAGAUGAGAAUUCUAAGGUGAGCGAGCGAACUCUCGUUAAGGAACUCGGCAAAAUGACCCCGUAACUUCGGGAGAAGGGGUGCUCUUUAGGGUUAACGCCCAGAAGAGCCGCAGUGAAUAGGCCCAAGCGACUGUUUAUCAAAAACACAGGUCUCUGCUAAACCGUAAGGUGAUGUAUAGGGGCUGACGCCUGCCCGGUGCUGGAAGGUUAAGAGGAGUGGUUAGCUUCUGCGAAGCUACGAAUCGAAGCCCCAGUAAACGGCGGCCGUAACUAUAACGGUCCUAAGGUAGCGAAAUUCCUUGUCGGGUAAGUUCCGACCCGCACGAAAGGCGUAACGAUUUGGGCACUGUCUCAACGAGAGACUCGGUGAAAUCAUAGUACCUGUGAAGAUGCAGGUUACCCGCGACAGGACGGAAAGACCCCGUGGAGCUUUACUGUAGCCUGAUAUUGAAAUUCGGCACAGCUUGUACAGGAUAGGUAGGAGCCUUUGAAACGUGAGCGCUAGCUUACGUGGAGGCGCUGGUGGGAUACUACCCUAGCUGUGUUGGCUUUCUAACCCGCACCACUUAUCGUGGUGGGAGACAGUGUCAGGCGGGCAGUUUGACUGGGGCGGUCGCCUCCUAAAAGGUAACGGAGGCGCUCAAAGGUUCCCUCAGAAUGGUUGGAAAUCAUUCAUAGAGUGUAAAGGCAUAAGGGAGCUUGACUGCGAGACCUACAAGUCGAGCAGGGUCGAAAGACGGACUUAGUGAUCCGGUGGUUCCGCAUGGAAGGGCCAUCGCUCAACGGAUAAAAGCUACCCCGGGGAUAACAGGCUUAUCUCCCCCAAGAGUUCACAUCGACGGGGAGGUUUGGCACCUCGAUGUCGGCUCAUCGCAUCCUGGGGCUGUAGUCGGUCCCAAGGGUUGGGCUGUUCGCCCAUUAAAGCGGUACGCGAGCUGGGUUCAGAACGUCGUGAGACAGUUCGGUCCCUAUCCGUCGUGGGCGUAGGAAAUUUGAGAGGAGCUGUCCUUAGUACGAGAGGACCGGGAUGGACAUACCUCUGGUGUACCAGUUGUCGUGCCAACGGCAUAGCUGGGUAGCUAUGUGUGGACGGGAUAAGUGCUGAAAGCAUCUAAGCAUGAAGCCCCCCUCAAGAUGAGAUUUCCCAACUUCGGUUAUAAGAUCCCUCAAAGAUGAUGAGGUUAAUAGGUUCGAGGUGGAAGCAUGGUGACAUGUGGAGCUGACGAAUACUAAUCGAUCGAAGACUUAAUCAA
rnacentral:rRNA from 1 species